AACGCGAAGAACCUUACCUGGGCUCGAAGCGCAGUGGAAUCCGGUGGAAACAUCGGCGCCCCUUAAAAGGCUGCUGCGGAGGUGCUGCAUGGCUGUCGUCAGCUCGUGUCGUGAGAUGUUGGGUUAAGUCCCGCAACGAGCGCAACCCUUAUCGUCUGUUACUAACGCGUCAUGGCGAGGACUCGGGCGAAACUGCCUCGGAUAACGAGGAGGAAGGUGGGGAUGACGUCAAGUCCUCAUGGCCUUUAUGUCCAGGGCUACACACGUGCUACAAUGGUCGGUACAAACCGUCGCAAACCCGUGAGGGGGAGCCAAUCGGAAAAAGCCGGCCUCAGUUCGGAUUGGAGUCUGCAACCCGACUCCAUGAAGCUGGAAUCGCUAGUAAUCGCGGAUCAGAACGCCGCGGUGAAUACGUUCCCGGGCCUUGUACACACCGAGACGUA
rnacentral:rRNA from 1 species